ACGCGUUCAAAAUAAUCUUUUAUUUUGAAAGUGUCAUUUGAUGCCCCGAUGGUUCAGAUUCUCUUCCGGUGUAAACAGAAAAACUACUUCUUACUUGUGCGUCAGCGGAGACGGAGGAGCGCGAUGUGGCCGCAGGGUUAGUUCAGAGAGAUUAAAGGCGAUCAGCUGGAUUUCCUUCAUGAUGAAGAUGAAGAUGUGUGUGCUGUUUGUGAUCCUCGCUUUCGUGUCCCAGCAUGCAUCAGGGGUGGAGGUGUUUGAGGCCGAGGAGUCUGUCCUGCUGCCCUGUAAGCUUGUUGUUCCUAAGGAUCAUGCAAUCGUGUGGAAACGUGAAGAUCUGACUUCUCAGAUCGUUCACGCCAUUGUGGAGGGAAAAGAUGAUCUUAGGAACCAAAACCCUCAUUACCGCAACCGAACAUCAAUGAGAGCCCUGCAGACUGGAGACCUCAGCCUCACUCUGAGGAACCCCACGUUCACUGACAGUGGGACCUACACCUGUGCCACCCGCAUCCAUGGAGAGGACAAGGAGAAAACUCAAGCCCAGCUGAAGGUCAAAGAACGUCCUGUCUGGCCCAAACUCCUCCCAGCUGUCCUGGUUCCUGUGCUUCUCCUCGGUGCUGUCAUUAUUUUCCUCCUGUAUCGUGUGACACAAAGAGAGAAGCUCAUAACAGUGGGUCAGCUGACACCACUGGAGGUGAUGGAGGGGGCGCCGUCUGUCCUGCUGCCCUACACACACACAUGCUGUCUGGGUGAGGUUCUCAAAGUGGAGUGGAUCUUUGUGACGAAUGAAAACAAGAUGGUGUGUGUGUUUGACAACGGUCAUAUCAAACAUGACCAACAACAUAAGGAUUACAGAGAGCGCGCAGAGAUGGAGUCAUUCCCACCCAAGGAGAAGAAGACAGACCAGCUGAAUCGGCCUGAAGUUGACCUCAGUCUGACCCUGAGGAACCCCGUCUGUGCAGAUGGAGGAGUUUACCUCUGCAUCAUCCACGACAAGGCUGUGAACACCAUGAAACUCAAGCUAGUGCCGCUCCUGGUCAGAGGUUCUUGGUCAUCCAGGUCAUCGUAGUCUAAGGAGCUUGGAAGGAAACCAAACAAUGAAGCCAUCUAUGUCCACUGUGAACGACCAUCUUUGAACAGAGGGCGGGGAGAACUGUCAUCCAGGGAAGGACGGAUGUUGUUUUUGUUUUGCGUUUUAAUGUGAAGUGUGUUUAUUUAUUUUAUAUUGCAUGUUUUGGUUAUAUUUUGUGCAGUGUUUUAUUUAUAUUGCAUGUUUUGGUUACACCGUCAAUCUGUCCUGGAGAGACUCCGCCUUUUCCCAUUUUACUGAUUGGACACACCUGAGAGAAAAGGAGUGAGUGGUAACACAGACAGGCUCGGAGAGCUUGGCGUGAAGCGAGCCAGGAGGAUACAGCGCGGAUACGCAAGGACGCAGGGCGAGGUGUCCGACUGCUUCAGCAACUGGAGGCCAGAUUUCGCGUCUGCGGAAACUAGAGGCGGCGAGGUGGGCCGGUGCCGAUUGGCGAUUACAAAGAAGCAGCGGGCAGAGUUAAGAGCUCUGCCCACUCGUGGUAAGUCUUUUGACUUGUCCCCGUUAAUGAAUGAUAGCUGCCGAAAAGAGUAGUGACUGCCGCUGCCUUUCUUCCUUUAGCGCACCGGGGCGCAGAACGCGAAGAAGGAGACGAGGACGCCGCCGGGUUUCCCUCCUGCACCGCUUCACUGGAUUUUUAAAUUUUUAGUGACUUCUAUACCGUGGCGAUCGCCACUGGACUUUUAAUCUUGUGUUAUUGAUGUUCAUGGUGUGUUCUCCCCUGGCCAGGGCUGUUUUAAUCUAUUUUACAUUUUUUUUACUGUUUAAAUGUAAUAAAUUAUAUUUUAUCUUUACAGUUUUUAAAUUUGUUCUGCAUUCCCUUGGCUGCCCCACUGCUCUGUCCGUUUUAGGAGGGUUUCUCUCUUUUUAAU
ensembl:lncRNA